GUGGGGGAAAAGAGAAGAAAACACAGAAAGGAAAAAGCCUGAAUAAGGAGCUGCUGUUUUCCAGGUAUAGCUGAACCAGCUCAGGCCA
rnacentral:lncRNA from 1 species